CUCCUUUAUCAUAUUUUCUUUAAAAAAAUUGUCCGGAACAUAUCUUCUUCAUGCAUGGAGGGAUUUUGAUAUAUCUUGGCACAAAUGUUUACCACUACGAGGCGGAGUGUCAUGCGCAAGAACCAGGUCCCUAGGUCUAAGGUCAAGGUCACACUUAGAGGCCAAAGGUCAGAUACAAGAAUGACUUUGUCCGAAGCAUUUCUUCUUCAUGCAUGGAGGGAUUUUGAUGUAACUUGGCACAAUUAUACACCAUCAUGAGACAAAGUGUCAUGCGCAGUUCCCUUCUUUAGAAUUACUUCCCUUUGUUGUUACUUUAAAUAGCUUUUAUUGUAACUUUUUCAUUACUAGUGGUAGGGAAAAAUCGAGACCACUUUUCUGUAGUACAACAAGCAUGCUAAAUCCAAUUUUGAGGUGUAUUUUGACCAAUCUCUACCUGAUAAAGAUUUUUGUGUGGACUUGCAAUUUUUUUUUUAAAGAUUAACUUCCCUUAGUUGUUACUAUAAAUAACUUAUAUUGUAACAUUUUUAUAAUUGACACUAGGGAAAAAAGAAGACACUUUUCUGUGGUACAACAUAGAUCUUACUCUCCAGUUUUAGGUGUAUUUUAUUAUAUAUAAGGUAUCUCUACCUGGUAAGGAGUUUUUUUGUGGACUUUAAAAAACAAAAGACUUACAAUGAUUACUAAACAACCACAAAAUUAACAUUCCAUUUGCAAAUACAGCUGCUAGAGUAAAGAAAUUUGCUUUGACGGGCAUAUAUUGUGACAUUCUGGCACUCUUGUUCCCUGUUAGCUUUCCAUUCCUUCUUUUUACAGUAGCCAUAUAG